CAUAAAAUAGUUUAAUUAAAAUAUUAGUUUUGGAGACUAAAGAUGUAAAAAAAUAUUUUUUUGA
rnacentral:tRNA from 1 species